UCCCGCCUGCCCUGUGACUUAAUAGUUUAACGGCCGCGGUAUUUUGACCGUGCGAAGGUAGCGUAAUCACUUGUCUUUUAAAUGAAGACCUGUAUGAAUGGCAUAACGAGGGCUAAGCUGUCUCCUUUUUCCAGUCAAUGAAAUUAAUCUUCCCGUGCAGAAGCGGGAAUCUAAACAUAAGACGAGAAGACCCUAUGGAGCUUCAGACUAAAGGCAGCUCACAUUAAAAUAACUGGACAAACAGAACAAAUCAAGUGACCCCUGCCCUAAUGUUUUUGGUUGGGGCGACCGCGGGGGAACAAAAAUCCCCCAUGUGGAAUAGGAAUUUUUUCCUCAAAACUAGAGCCACAGCUCUAACAAGCAGAAUUUCUGACCAACAAGACCCGGCAAAGCCGAUCAACGGACCGAGUUACCCUAGGGAUAACAGCGCAAUCCCCUUUUAGAGCCCAUAUCGACAAGGGGGUUUACGACCUCGAUGUUGGAUCAGGACAUCCUAAUGGUGCAGCCGCUAUUAAGGGUUCGUUUGUUCAACGAUUAAAGUCCUACGUGAUCUGAGUUCAGACCGGAGUAAU
rnacentral:rRNA from 1 species